rnacentral:lncRNA from 1 species
UUCUGAGUUCUCCAUUCUAUUUCAUUUUAUAUGUCUACCUUUAUGUCAGUACCACACUGUUUUGAUUAUUGUAAUUUUGUAAUUAAGUCAUUUAUUCUAACAGACUUUUUUAUUGUGUGUGGAAUCCUUAGCGUUUUCCAAACAUAAGAUUAUAUUACUUGCAAAAAGAAAUGUUUACUUUUUUCUUUACAGUUUGAAUACCUUUGAUUUCUUUUUCUUGCCUAAUUGCUCUGGCUAGAACUUCCAGUUCCAUGUUGAAUUGAAGUGAUGAAAAUGGGCAUCCUUCCCUUGUUCUUGAUAUUAGAGGGGAAGAUUUUAAUCUUUCACCAUUGAGUAUGAUGUUCACUGGGGUUUUUCACAUGUGGCUUUUAUUGUGUUGAGGUGAUUUCCUUCUACUACUAGUUUGUUGAGUGUUUAUCAUGAAAGGGUGUUGAGUUUUGUCAAAUGCUCUUUCACCAUCAAUUAAGAUGGUUAUGUUUUUUUCCCUUUAUUCUGUAAAUGUGGUAUAUUACAUUGAUUGAUUUUUAUAUGUUGAACCAUCUUGGCAUUCUAGGAAUAAAUCCCACUUGGUCAUGGUGUAUAAUCUUUUUACUAUGCUGAAUUCAGUUUGCUUGUAUUUUGUUGAGGAUUUUUGCAUCAAUGUUCAUAAGAAAUAUUGAUCUAUAAUUUUCUUUUCUGUAGUGUCUUUGUCUGGCUUCCGUAUCAGGAUAAUGCUGAUCUUGUAUAAAUAAGUUAGUAAAUGUUUCCUCUUCUUCAGUUAUUUAGAAAAGUUUGAGAAGGAUUGGUAUUUGUUCUUUAAAUGUUUGGUAGAACUCACCAGUGAAGCAAUCAGGCCCAGGACUUUUCACAGCUGCAUGUUUUAACCUUUAAAUUAAAGUGAAAAAAUCCUGCAAAGUUUCUUUAUAUGGUAUGGUAGUCACUUGACAUGGUCACUAGUAUUCCAAAUCUCCUCCCUCUGGGUCCAUGGGCACUUCUUUGCCCAUUGUGACCACGUGACUUGUUUUUCCAGAUGAAAUGUGAGUGGAGGGGAUAUGUGUCACCUUUAAGGGGAAGUCUUAAGACCCAAUGCAGAAUUCUACAAUCUCCAUUCUGCCUACCAUGGUGACCUGCAAAGUUCCAGAUUUCUGAUCUCUUUCAAUCUGCAUUCCUGAAUAAGGACAUGACACGGAGCAGUGACCCUGCUGACCUGUGAUGAACAUGUACCCACGAGCAAAUUCCUCUUCUAUACCGGGUGCAGUCAUCUUUAGCUUGUCAGUUAUUGUCACAACUUGUUGGGAAGAUCAUCAGCUUAGCCACAUAGAGUUGCCUAAAUAUUUGAGCAGAAACCCCAGCCCUUCUGCAGGGUCUCACGUGAACAUCCUACCAGAUGUGGGGAUAUCAAGGUUGUAGAUGAAGUACCUGGCAAGCAUGUCAGAAUUCUGAGCUGCCACUGGAUGAGAAACUUCCAUGUCAGAGAAUCCUUUCUCCUUCCUACAUGGAGAGGUGG